rnacentral:rRNA from 1 species
GACGAACGCUGGCGGCGUGCCUAAUACAUGCAAGUAGAACGCUGAAGGAGGAGCUUGCUUCUCUGGAUGAGUUGCGAACGGGUGAGUAACGCGUAGGUAACCUGCCUGGUAGCGGGGGAUAACUAUUGGAAACGAUAGCUAAUACCGCAUAAUAGUAGAUGUUGCAUGACAUUUGCUUAAAAGUUGCAAUUGCAUCACUACCAGAUGGGCCUGCGUUGUAUUAGCUAGUUGGUGAGGUAACGGCUCACCAAGGCAACGAUGCAUAGCCGACCUGUGAGGGGGAUCGGCCAGACUGGGACGGAGACACGGCCCAGAGUCCUACGGGAGGCAGCAGUAGGGAAUCUUCGGCAAGGGACGGAAGUCUGACCGAGCAACGCCGAGUGAGUGAAGAAGGUUUUCGGAUCGGAAAGCUCUGUUGUAAGAGAAGAACGAGUGUGAGAGUGGAAAGUUCACAGUGUGACGGUAUCUUACCAGAAAGGGACGGCUAACUACGUG